GACGAACGCUGGCGGCGUGCUUAACACAUGCAAGUCGAGCGGUAAGGCCCUUUCGGGGUACGACGAGCGGCGAACGGUGAGUAACACGUGGGUGACCUGCCCUCAGCUCUGGGAUAAGCCUGGGAAACCGGGUCUAAUACCGGAUAUGACUCCAUGACGCAUGUUGUGGGGUGGAAAGCCUUGUGCGGCUGAGGAUGGGCCCGCGGCCUAUCAGCUUGUUGGUGGGGUGAGGCCUACCAAGGCGACGACGGGUAGCCGGCCUGAGAGGGCGACCGGCCACACUGGGACUGAGACACGGCCCAGACUCCUACGGGAGGCAGCAGUGGGGAAUCUUGCGCAAUGGGCGAAAGCCUGACGCAGCGACGCCGCGUGAGGGAUGACGGCCUGG
rnacentral:rRNA from 1 species